GCUCUGAAACCAGAUUGCAUAGCGGAGAAGGUGUGGUGGGAUUCGAAAUGGUCUGUGAUCUGUUUGUUGACUUGGCUUUCAAAGACCUUAGAAAGGCAGGGUAGGAUAGAUAUAGGUUUGUAGCAGUUUGGAUCUAGAGUGAACAUUCCUGGUGCUAUGUCUAAACUGAGAAGAGUAAUUGCUGGGAUGCCAUUGAAAUUAUCAUGGAAGAAGUUAAUGCUUCCCUGAAAGGAGGUUAAGUUACUGAAGCAAAAAGAGUGACAGUCGAGUGGACACUAAAACUGUACUGUUACAAUUUGAAGGGAACCUGCUGCAUAGGUUGCAGCUAGGAUCACUCCGUUAUCCGGUUAGACAGUGCAUGCCGCCUCCCCUUCGGUGCAUUAAGGGCCAAUGCAAGGGGCAUGUUGCUAAUGUUUGCAAAGGUAAAAUGAGAUGUAUAACGUGUGGUGGGGAUCACGAGUAUGGGAAAUGUGGGCCUGAUGCUCAUGUUAAACUGUGACACAGAACAUAGUGCCGCAUAUGGAUGAUGUGAAGUACAACAGAAAGCCAUGGAAGCGCAGAGGUACAAAAUUACAAACAAUGUAUCCUAUGCUGAGGCUGUUUGGGAAGUGAAUAACACACCUAGUGUUCAAAAUACUCCAGAUACAACAUAUCGGCAGAUAGUGGCCACGCCGAGGCCUCCAGUGGAACCUCAGCCGUUUGUUAAUGGGAAAUGCGUGCAUAAAUGCUUGAUUACAGAGAACCAUGGUAGUAGAUCAUGUGACCUCAUUGGCCUUCAUGUGUAGGGCAAUCAAUGUGACUGCUCCACAGUUGACAGUGCAACUGCCUCAAUUUAGGGACACAUCUGGGGAAGGGUACCAAAAAAUGUCUGCAGCAUUGAAGGUCCCCAAGAACACAGUGGCCUUUUUUUUUCAGAUGGCGGACUGGAAACCCAGUGACCACUUGGGUCUAUAGCUACCAUUUUCCAUUGGGAAAGAGAAAUGGCCCUGUAUUUACCAGAAAAAGUAGCUCAUCCACCAUGGCAGAAGAGGAUAAUCCAGACUAUUGAUUGGGAAAUUAGAAAACAAUGAGGGUGUUGGGGGACCACUUUUUCCAAGUCCAACAGGAGUGCAUCUCUCAGGCCAUCCGGUGCAUGGACAUCCUGUGCCAGUUUGAUCCAAGUGCAUGCGUCUAGUUGUAUAGACUACAGCGGAUGGAGCCUGUGGAUGACAGACAUGAGCCGUGACAUGUGGAACAUCAGGCUCACCCCACAAGAAGCAGUGCAUGAUCAAUGCCAUCCUCAGCAAUGAGAUCUGAUGGAAGUGAUGUACUCUCUCUCACUCUGGGGAUAAAACAUCAUUUAAACCACACAAAUAUAAAUUCCCACUGUGCCCAUGAUAAAAUACAAUGUGAAUUGUGUUGUACUACUAAAUGAAACUGAUGAGAUGCACUCAUACCAGCCUUUUGAUUGAACUAUCAUUAGCUACAUUACUUUAAUUGGCUGCUUUGAGCAAAACUUGUAUUGAACAUAACCUAUUCUGGGAGCCUAGCCUGUGUGUAUGAACUAGGUAGAAUAUUUUGGGACAAUUGGCUUCCCAGAAAACAGGAGGAGCAACAUGAGUUUGUCAGAGGUCUCCCUUCCAUUGAAGUGGAGCUAACCUCCCUCUCCUCAUGGUGUUCCAGUUGGGGUUGGUUUGCUGUCCAACUGUUGCCUGCCGUAUUCCUGCUGCUUCACCAACAGCGCCAUGCCAGCCAGGAUGCCAGCAUGCCCCAGGUGCCCUUGUUUUUUUAACAAUGUCCGGUACAGACAGGGAUGACAGCAGUUGUUCUUGCUCAGGUUCAAGGAGACAUGCCAUUCCACUGAAAGUGCCCCAGAGACGGUUCCUUACAUGCUAACUACACCGGCCACACGCGUGCAUCUGUGUGCACAUGUUGAUUUUGUCCAUCUACACCAGACAUGAUCAGGACAUGCAAAUAUCAAAAUGAGCCAACUAUAUUAAUUUGGGGACGGGUUGAAUCACAUAUGAAAUAUUCAUUGACAUUUAUCUAGCUAGCUUACUGUUGGUAGCUAAUUUGUCCUGGGAUAUAAACAUUGGGUUGUUUAACCUGAAAUGAACAUGGUCCUUUUUUUUUCACUGGAUCUUCGUAGAAGUUUGAGUCACACAAAAUCGGCCAAUAUUGUGAACCGCCAAAACAGGCUUCAUGGCUAAACAUAUGAGCUCCACGCAGGCAUUUGCAUGUGGAAGAGAGAAUCUCCUGGUUACCUAUAGAGACCUGCAAAGAGGAAGGCUGUUAAGUGACACAUGCCUUUCAAUAGAUUACUUUGAGAACCUUGAAAUGCAUUUGUUGUAAGAAAUGUGCAAUAUUAAUGUUUGAUUUAGCUGUAAAGUAUUUAAUAAACUAUAAUUUUCACA